GACCCCAUAGUUUAACAGGAUAAAACAGCCGUUUCCUAAAUGGCCGAUCCGUGUUCGAGUCGCGGUGGGGUCG
rnacentral:tRNA from 1 species